AAAAACCCGCAAGCAUGAUAAUGAAAAAAGAGGUAUCCGCAAUCUGCGGGUGCCAUCCCUACUCUCUUCCCGUUUUGUUACAACCGUAAUAUUAGGAUUUAUUUAUAUCCCCAAUUUGUCCCUAUCUAUAUAUAAUAUAGUUUCAUUCGUCUAGGGUUUCAUUAGCAAUUAAUUGGUGUAAAAUUUGAUCUUGAAUCGCUCACCGUAAUAUGUUUUCUGGACCCACCCGCUUUUCAAAUCAACCGGUUAUUUUGAGGCAUUUUACCUACCUUGAAUCGUCAUCUCGAUGGA